ACGGGCGUCGGAGUAAAAUCAAGGUCUGAAGAACGUUUGGGUCCUUUUGGAGUUCUGUACGGCAGACUCGACCGAUUUCAGUUGAAAGGGAAGCUCUGAGUCAACGAGGGGAGAAUUACUGACGUCCUACCGGGAUGUGAUGCUGGAGGCGGAGCAGCCCGUGGCCUCGCUGGGUUUUUCUCUUUGAGGAAAGCACCGCAGUCACUGCUGGCACACAGGCGUCAGCCUGGAGAAGUUGGAUCGGCUCCCUGCAAACAGCCCUUGUGCUGCUGCUCUGCGUGGUGCCAGCAGCUGCAGCACCCAGACGGUGUGCAGGUCACUCCUUUAGAACUUUGUACUUUUCAUUUCCCAUACACCUUGUUGAAGCCUUGGUAAACAAAGCAUCCUAAAGGGAACGUUGAAGAAAAUGUCCCUACAUCGUUUUCAGAGAUGUAAAAGGUGUGCUGGGCUCCAAAGGAAGUCGGUACGUGUAGAGCCAGCGUCAUUCAGAACUAAAACAGAGACACGCUGACAUGCACCAGUGGGCUCAUGCUUGACAUCUUGUAAAUAGGGUCGAAAAGAAACUGCGAAAUGAACGUGUGCAGCCUUCAUAGACUCUCCCCUACAAAAUCAAUGCAUUCUGCACAGCCUUCCCAGUCUUCUGUCUGUUGGCAGUUUUACUUUGUUUUUUCUUCAGAUCACAGCAGAGUGAGUCUGCCUGCACCAGAAGAAGAGCUGCCUUCAUGGAGGUGCAGGUACAGUCGGCCAUUGUGGAAUUCAUCUUGAACCACACAGAUGUCCUCUUCUGUUCCAAAUCCAGCUCAGUCAUUGGAGAUGGAGCAGGGAUGGAGCCUGUGCAUCAAUGGAAUGGUGUGGGGCAAGGGGGAAAAUGGAAAGCCUCUACAGCUGAUGCAAGCAGCCUUCCUCUGAAGCGCAGCCAUGUGCAAAGACAGGGGAGGAGCACAGAGUGUGGCACAGCACCCAAGAGAGCAGUGGUGACCAGCUCAGAUGUGCCGGAGGACAUCACAGACAUCCAGGGUUUGCUCUCUUGGAUCAGUGAUGUGGCAAGAGCUGCUGAGGUCCCCCAUGAGAACCCCAGCAGCCCUGCCCCAGGAUGCUUCAUCGCUGAGCUCCCUGACAACCCCAGGGACAGCAGAGAGCUCUGCAUGGAGGCACAGGCUGCCACCGGGAUGCCCACCAACCCCUUCUGGGGGCUUCCACCAUCCCCUGGGUUCCUGUCUGAACUGCAGAGUGGGUUGUCGCAGCUGUGCCCUGUUGUGCCUUCAGCGAGUGCCCGGCUCAAUCCACUGCCAACCUCCCUGGCUGUCAUCACAUCUCCCUCAGUCCAAACAGCACAGCCCAUCGAGGAGGUGCAGCAAAGGGAGCCCCAAGUGGUUCAGGCUCACUCGCCCCUGUCACCAGUCUCUGUCCCCAGCCGGGUGGCAGAAAAGAAGAACAGGGGCAGCACCAAGCGGGCCAAGCACCCUGUGCCUGCUGGCAACACCCAGAAAGGGGAGAGCUCCCAGCAGGAGCAGCCCACCAGCAGUGCCCCAGCCAAGAAAAGGAAGCUGCUGCCAUGCAAAGAAAGAAAAGAGAGAAAAGGCUGCAAACACCUGUGCCAAGUGAAGCUGUCUGGGGCCAGCGCAGGAGCCAGUAGCAGCGGGCAAGUGAGCACUGCCAGCGAGCUGCGCGUGCACUUGUGUGAAUCCAUCCAGGCCGUGCACCCGCUGGGGCAGAGGGUGACUGUGGUGGGCCCGGUGCGCCAGCCACCCUCUGUGCAGCCCCAACCCCGACCCAGCACUGUCCCUGCUGCCCUCUAUCCCCAAGACAGCAACACAGACAAGGCAGUGCCAGCACCUCCAGGCAGCGCAGUGCAAAAGGAGGAUGCUGCCAAGAAGAUGGCGCCAAGCUGCCUGCGCCCAUCCUUGCAGAGGAGCUCACUGCUGCGAAGCAACCCACCAUCACAGCUGCACCAGCAGCAGCCUUGGCCACAGCACCCCGUGGACUCUGUGCCCUGCGUGGGGCCACGGGUGGGCAGUGGUGCAGCACCCAUAGUGAUGGAGGAGUCACUGCCCAUCACAGCUGAGCAGCAGCCCAAGCGGGAGCGCAUGAAGAAGCUGGCCCAGGAGGAGCGGCGGCGGGCGGCCCAGCAGAUGAAGAUCGGCCCUGUGCAGUUCCUGCUGCAGCGGGAGAUAGACAUGGCCAUAGCCGACCAGUACGGCUACCCCUAACCCUGCGCUCCUCACCGGCCCCACAGCAGUGGCAGAGUUCCAGAGGCACCACCAGCAGCCCCAUCCCUCCUUUCCAGAACUGAGCUGUCCUCCAAAGUCAGCAUUGCAGUGGGAUGGGACAUUGUCUGGGCAAUCAACUGUUCUGGGAUGGGAAUUUUAGGAUUAUUGUUGUUACUAUUACUCGUUUUCUAUGAUACGUUAUUAAAAGCUUUGUGUUCCCUUUGCUACACCUCUGCCUGCAGUCAUUUGUGCUGUGUCACAGCCCCCCAGCUCCCCAUGCCCUCCAGGCAGGAUGGGAUACCACAGAUGGCCAUGUGCCUCAGCUGCCACCACCAGCUCCAGCCCUCCUCUCUCCCUGCAGUCCUUUGUGCAGUGUGAUGCAGAGGAUGUUUCACACAGCUCUCCUGCACUGCCCAGCACUGUGAAUUGCUGUGGGGAUGGGCAGCAGGCAUGGGCAGAUGGAGGGGAAUUGCCCUGGUUCACUGUGGCCAGCAGAGACUCCAGUAGGGACAGUUCCCAUGGAGGGCGGAAGCAGGGGUAGCUGGGCCUGCUGUGUGGAUAGGCAUAAAGAUGUCUCUUAUGUCACGGCUCUUCUGCCCCCACACUUUUUGGGUCCUGGCAGUUUUGUCUUCAGGCAGGGACCCAACCAACUCUGUACACACAGAGUAGAAUUUUCAUCUGGUGGCUGGUCACAAGUGCUGUUGCCCCAGGCUUGGUACUGGGGCCGCUCCUAUUGAACACCUUUAUCAGUGAUCUUAAUGAGGGGAUUGAGUGCACCCUCAGUGCACCAAGUUGGGAGGGAGCGCUGAUCGGAGCGCUGAUCUGCCCAAGAGGAGAAAGGCACUGCAGAGGGACCUGGAUAGACUGGAUUGAUUGCAUGGUUGGGUUGCGGUUGGAUUUGAUGAUCUUGAAGCUCUUUUCCAACUUGAGCAAUUCUAUGAUCCUAUGAUGCUAUAUCCAUUCCAUCCCAUACCCAGAGCUUAUCCCAUAUCUGUCCCAU
ensembl:lncRNA